GCCUGAAAACCUUUGUCAUCCGGUGUUUGGUUUGGUGUGUGUGAGUGAGUGAGUGUGUGUUUUCAUUUGUUCUUUUUCGCAGUAGAGGAAGAGAGCGGUGGGUGAGUGUGUUGCCGUGCGAGGAGGCUGGCUGUGAGCGGAUUCAGGAGGUCCCUCCUGAUCCACAUCAAAGCCCCCGGGAUCCUUGUGACUCUCCAGGUCCAGCGCUGGGCCUCCCCUCCACAUCAAAGGCUCUUUGUGGAGAUGUGGGCCUGAGUGUAACUGAUUGGCUUCACAUGCUCUAUAUCGGCUGGGGCCAAUGCCCUGUAAUCCCCCCUCCCCCAGCCUGCCCCCAGGGAUGUGUAAUCUGGACCGGUGAUCUCUGCGGCCUCCCGGGUCAGUGUGGCAGCCAGCAUGAAACCCUGCGUUGGUUUGUGUUAUUUCCUUUACAGUGAAAUGUUUUGAAACGUUCAUCCCUCUCGGUUCUACCUCACGUAACCUUGUUUGCGUUUCCUUCGUUGCACGGUUUCCUCCAUAAGCCUCACUCGUUACAUCUUUACGUGGAUUUGAGCCGUCUGCGUUGCCACUACCCCAUGCCGGGUCACCUCUCUGUACAAGUUCAACUUUUGGUUUUGGCCUCUCCCCUCAUAUCCCCUCAUCUCUUGUCUUUUCAUAUUACUGUUUCUAUGAUAGAGACAACCUCAUAGUUCGAUUGAUUUCUUGAAUUUCCACACACAAAGAAUACACAAAUACGGAAAGACACACACAAAAUCAUACAAUGAAUACAUUUGGAUGCAUAGAACAUGUAUUUAAAAAUAUUGGCAUAUGUUGACCGUUGAAAUGGCAAACAAAGUCUGAAGAAGCAAACCAAAACACACACACAAAGUCUCUCUCUCUCACACUUUUUCUCAUUCUCCAAGUUCGAUGUUCGAAAAAAAGGGUUUGUGCCAAUGUUUGUGUUAUACAAAUAUAUGACAUGCAAAUAAUGUUGCAUGGAGAGGGAUGACGUUGCCAUGGAAAUCUUGGGCCGUGUUUAUCUUGUGUGAAUCAAUGAUGUUGUUUUUCUAGUUGUCCCAUGUGUGUUUGACCCAGUGACACCUAAAGAGAUCAUGAAUAUUCACACUCAUACACGUGCAUGUGCACACACACACACACACACACACACACACACACACACACACACACACACACACACACACACACACACACACAAACACUGUUGUAAUACUUCCAUCCGACUGACGCAGUGAGCUGCACAAAUGGAGUCGUUGUGUCAUGCCCCCACGUCCCCACAGUCCUCUCAUGCUCUGAAUGCUCUCUGUGUGUGAGCCCCUCGGUCUGUCCGUCUGAUGUUGCCUUGACACCGUGCUCGGGACUCCGCAGGGCCUGAUCUUCUCCUUAUCUCCUCCAUCUUGUGUUGGUAUCAUCCUCCAUCACCCACCCUGGAUCCGCCGCGCCCGUUCCUUUGCCUUCUGUCGAAAGCACACCGGCUUUCUCUUCGUCUGAUAUGAAUUUAGUCACCGCACACACAUUCCCAUGCCCAGAGACAACCACAGAC
rnacentral:lncRNA from 1 species